CCUACGGGUGGCAGCAGUGGGGAAUUUUGGACAAUGGGGGCAACCCUGAUCCAGCAAUGCCGCGUGCAGGAAGAAGGCCUUCGGGUUGUAAACUGCUUUUGUCAGGGAAGAAAUCCUUUGGGCUAAUACCUCGGGGGGAUGACGGUACCUGAAGAAUAAGCACCGGCUAACUACGUGCCAGCAGCCGCGGUAAUACGUAGGGUGCGAGCGUUAAUCGGAAUUACUGGGCGUAAAGCGUGCGCAGGCGGUUUGGUAAGACAGGGGUGAAAGCCCCGGGCUCAACCUGGGAACUGCCUUUGUGACUGCAAGGCUGGAGUACGGCAGAGGGGGAUGGAAUUCCGCGUGUAGCAGUGAAAUGCGUAGAUAUGCGGAGGAACACCGAUGGCGAAGGCAAUCCCCUGGGCCUGUACUGACGCUCAUGCACGAAAGCGUGGGGAGCAAACAGGAUUAGAUACCCCAGUAGUCCUU
rnacentral:rRNA from 1 species